rnacentral:piRNA from 1 species
UCCAACAGAAACAGAUGUGCUCAAGCU